rnacentral:rRNA from 1 species
UGCCAGACUCCUACGGGAGGCAGCAGUGGGGAAUAUUGCACAAUGGGGGAAACCCUGAUGCAGCGACGCCGCGUGAGUGAAGAAGUAAUUCGUUAUGUAAAGCUCUAUCAGCAGGGAAGAAAAUGACGGUACCUGAGUAAGAAGCCCCGGCUAACUACGUGCCAGCAGCCGCGGUAAUACGUAGGGGGCAAGCGUUAUCCGGAUUUACUGGGUGUAAAGGGAGCGUAGACGGCAGCGCAAGUCUGGAGUGAAAUCCCAUAGCUUAACCAUGGAACUGCUUUGGAAACUGUGCAGCUGGAGUGCAGGAGAGGUAAGCGGAAUUCCUAGUGUAGCGGUGAAAUGCGUAGAUAUUAGGAGGAACACCAGUGGCGAAGGCGGCUUACUGGACUGUAACUGACGUUGAGGCUCGAAAGCGUGGGGAGCAAACAGGAUUAGAUACCCUCGUA